CAAGGUCAUCUGUUCCAGCCCCCUACUAAAGCUGAUAUGUCAAAAGGAGUAACUUGGAACUGCUUAUUUUACAAACAGCUCACAAAGUGGGAAACUCUGCCCCUGCUGG